GUGCUCACCUAGGCAGCACAUAUACCAAAACUGGACCAAUGCAGAGGAGAAAAAAAACGCAUGGCCCCUGUGCAAGGAUAACAUGCAAAUUUGGGAAAUGUCCUGUAUUUUU